UACAGAGGUGCCAAGCGUUAGGCGGAAUCACUGGGCUUAAAGCGCGCGUAGGCGGAUGUUUAAGUGUCUUGUGAAAUCCCACGGCUCAACCGUGGAACUGCUGGGCAUACUGGACAUCUCGAGGCACUCAGGGGCGAGCGGAACAAGUGGUGGAGCGGUGAAAUGCGUAGAUAUCUGGAGGAACACCGGUGGCGAAGGCGGCAUCCUGGACCAACACUGACACUGAUGAGCGAAAGCCAGGGGAGCAAACGGG
rnacentral:rRNA from 1 species